rnacentral:rRNA from 1 species
UGGGGAAUAUUGGACAAUGGGCGCAAGCCUGAUCCAGCCAUGCCGCGUGUGUGAAGAAGGCCUUUUGGUUGUAAAGCACUUUAAGCGAGGAGGAGGCUACUUGGAUUAAUACUCUAGGAUAGUGGACGUUACUCGCAGAAUAAGCACCGGCUAACUCUGUGCCAGCAGCCGCGGUAAUACAGAGGGUGCGAGCGUUAAUCGGAUUUACUGGGCGUAAAGCGUGCGUAGGCGGCUUCUUAAGUCGGAUGUGAAAUCCCUGAGCUUAACUUAGGAAUUGCAUUGGAUACUGGGAAGCUAGAGUAUGGGAGAGGAUGGUAGAAUUCCAGGUGUAGCGGUGAAAUGCGUAGGGAUCUGGAGGAAUACCGAUGGCGAAGGCAGCCAUCUGGCCUAAUACUGACGCUGAGGUACGAAAGCAUGGGGAGCAAACAGG